UUCAAUAAUAUUGUUUUGGAAAUUAAGGCAGUGAGGUUGGUUUUUAACUCUUCCUAUUCUUACUUUGGUUUUGAUGGCAAUCACUCAUGACUUGGUUAAUUCUCCUACAAGUGAUGACAUUGCACUUGAUCAAGGAGUUGCUUACCUUCUUAUGUUGGUGGCGCUUGCAAUCACUUAUACGUUCCAUUGAUAUUUGUUAUUACUAUUAUUACUAAAAUAUUUUCAUUACUAUUAUUGCCUCAUAGUCUUUCAAAUAAUGAAAUGAGA